rnacentral:rRNA from 1 species
AUUGAACGCUGGCGGCAGGCCUAACACAUGCAAGUCGAGCGAGCGGCGGACGGGUGAGUAAUGUCUGGGAAACUGCCUGAUGGAGGGGGAUAACUACUGGAAACGGUAGCUAAUACCGCAUCCCAUCAGAUGUGCCCAGAUGGGCUUAGCUGGUAGGUGGGGUAAAGGCUCACCUAGGCGACGAUCCCUAGCUGGUCUGAGAGGAUGACCAGCCACACGGGAACUGAGACACGGUCCAGAGUCCUACGGGAGGCAGCAGUGGGGAAUAUUGCACAAUGGGCGCGAGCCUGAUGCAACCAUGCCGCGUGGUUGAAGAAGGCCUGCGGGGUGUAAAGCACUUUCUGCGGGGAGGCGUUACCCGCAGAAGAAGCGCCGGCUAACUACGUGCCAGCAGCCGCGGUAAUUC